GGAGAAGUACCCAAGUGGUGAAGGGGCUUGUUUGCUAAACAAGUAGGGUCCGUAAGGGCCGCGAGGGUUCGAACCCCUCCUUCUCCGCCA
rnacentral:tRNA from 1 species